GUCAGCCCCGAAGGAAUAUUCACGGACGAGGUUUCCAUUGGAGCCUUCCAUGCGAUUUCUAGAAACAUCCUUUUAGUUGCCUCUGCAGGGAACGAUGGACCGACGCCUGGUUCUGUGGUGAACGUGGCUCCUUGGGUCUUCACCAUCGCUGCUAGCACCAUAGACAGAGACUUCAGCAGUAAUUUAACCAUUAACAACAAACAGCAAAUCGAGGUAAGUACCAUUAUCACUAAUUAAUAUUUUUUUAUCAUAAAAAGUAAAUAAUAAAUAUGACUAAUCAGUUGAACUCUUGUACAAAACAAAAAUAAAUAAAAACAAAAACAUCAAAACUAUCUUCAACUAUCUACUCCAAAAGUUACUAGCUAGACAACAACACCAAGAAACAUCUUAUAAACAACUUUUAAUGAAAAUAUACAUAUUUAUUUGAAAAAACCAUUAAUUAGAAGAAAAAAAAACCAUCGAGAAUUUUUUGAGAAAAUUCAAUUUCAAACCUUUAACUAAGACAAUGAGAAGUUUUCAGAAUCAUCAACCAUUUCAUCACUAAAAAAAUAUUUAUUCCUAUAUUUCUAAAUUUCACUAUAUUUCUAAAUUUCACUUACUAAUGUAGUCCAAAUUUACCCAAAAUUAAAUUAACAAAUGUAAGUGCAUAAAGAAUUUUAAACUGCCUAAAACGUGAAGAUCUACCAAACUCACUAGUAAUAAGACUAGCAAAAAUUUCAAAAACUAACAAAAAAAACUCUGCAACCAAAUAACAAAUGACUUGUAGACUCUUUCAUCAUCCACAAGCAACAAAGGUUAUUCUCAACCUCAAUCUCUCAUAUCUCCAAGUUGAUCUUAAAGCUAUCUUGUUUUCGAUCACCCUCUAGACUCUGACAUGAACGUAAGGAAGAACCGUAGGAAAAGUUGUACAACUCUGAAUUUUCCUCUUCUCUCCCCUCUCUAGUUAACAUAGAUUUAAGAAUGUAAAAAACGUGAAAAAAUUCUAUGAAGAAAGUCAUGAUUCUAAUAACAUCAAGGAAAGAACAAAAUUAGAGGGCUCCACGUGUGGAAAAACUUUUUUAAUCACUUUGGCCACAAAAUCUAUGAGAAAGUCUUCAAUAAUUUAUGUACUGCAAAAUUUACAUCACUGUGGUCACCGACAGAUCUUUUCGUUUAAUAUUUUAUC
rnacentral:lncRNA from 1 species